ensembl:snoRNA SNORD29 Small nucleolar RNA SNORD29
UUUUAAUGAUGAGCCAAACUAGCUCACUUUGAUUUUACUAUAAACAUGAAAAUAUUUGAACAACUGAGAAAC